UGUCCGAUGGCUGAGGUAGAAGCGGUAGACUGUAGAUCUAUUAACGGAGUUAAGUUUCCUCGACAA
rnacentral:tRNA from 1 species